AUGGAGGAUGAGGAGGAGGAGGAGGUGGUGGAGGACGCCGCCGCCAAGAGGAGGCUGGUUGUUCGUCAGAUUUCUGAGGGUGGGGAUGGACCCUCACGGGUGACAGAGCACCACGAGGUGAGCGGUUUGCAACCGAGUGGUUCGACUAUCAGCACUACUUCCAGAGGGAAAGUGUGGCUGCGUGGUCCUUCAAAGAUUCCAAGACGUCCAUAUGUGCAUAGAGACGUGUUGAUUAAACCAAUGGGAGAGAAAAGCUUAGUAAAAGGCGGUGAGAGGCGUCUGCCACGGUCACCGAGUGGCAUCAUUGGGGGUCUUUGUAGGUUAAAUUACCCUGGACUGCUCACUUUACCGAACGGUAUCAUUGAGCCAGCUUGGUCAUGGGAUCACUACAAACUUGCACCGGAUUUCCUGGAUAUGCGUCAGAGGGUUUAUGAUAACAGAGCCAUGCGAGUGGUCAACGAUUUCUGGGAUUUCUAUACAUGCGUUGAGGGUCAGAAGGAUUGUGCAAAUGUGGUGGUUGAUAAUAUUGCCAAGAAACUAGUCCACGACAUGCACUAUGAGGAGCGCGUCCGGUUAGUGGUCAAGUAUCACGCGGACUAUCUCAACCAUAGGAUUUCCAAACAGGAGGCUCGAGGGACGCAUCUUUGA
rnacentral:rRNA from 1 species